UCCGCAUAGUAAAAACAUUUUAUUUACAAGCACAACACUUUAUCGAAUUCAUAUGCAGUUUAAUACGCGUUUAACGGUACAAGAGUUAGUAAGUGGAGUUUAGUACAAGUGGUUAAAAGAGCCUACCGAGAGAUAUAGAAAUAUGUUAUCUGAUGAUACUGUCACAACGGGAAGAAGUAUGGUUGGUACAAAUUUGGUGGAAGUGCUGAAACUAUGAUGUUUCACAAUGUUUAAAGAAGGUGAAAAACAUUGUGGUGCAAAAUAUCCAAGGCAUUUAACAGGAGAUCAACCCAGAAUGAAUGAUGGGAUUGUUGAACGGGAUGAUCUGCUGUUAAAUGAAACUUCAAAAUUUUGAUAAGGGUUGAAUGCUAUUUUUUUAAAACAGUUUGCAUUUUGUGGUUAAGUUCAUAUGAUUUGAUGAUAUUAUAUGAUUCAAUGAUAUUGAAUCUAUUAUAUUAAUGAUUUCA